rnacentral:rRNA from 1 species
UACAGAGGGUGCAAGCGUUGUUCGGAAUUACUGGGCGUAAAGCGCACGUAGGCGGAUUGGAAAGUUGGGGGUGAAAUCCCGGGGCUCAACCCCGGAACUGCCUUCAAAACUCCCAGUCUGGAGGUCGAGAGAGGUGAGUGGAAUUCCGAGUGUAGAGGUGAAAUUCGUAGAUAUUCGGAGGAACACCAGUGGCGAAGGCGGCUCACUGGCUCGAUACUGACGCUGAGGUGCGAAAGCGUGGGGAGCAAACAGG